GCCAGCCUUUGUGACCUUUGGCUGUAGACCCUUGCAGCGGUGCCUGGACGUGUCCUGUCACUGCCCUAAACCUGCAGUCAUCUUGGGUUCCAGGUACAGCACAGCCUCACAGACAGAUGAUGGAACCCCCCAAGUGGAGGCACUACCCCAGGAGAGGAACAGAGGCUGCCCAGCUCAUGGGCACCUGGCUGCUCCCUCAGGUCUAGUAAGGACCUCUGCAGAGUCUCCAUGCAGAACCAGACCUGAGGUGAUGACCGACAGGACCAUGGCAUGACCACACUGCCUGGGACACGGACCCCUCUGGGCCAGCUUUUGCUUGCUACUGCUGAGCUCCUGUCAGGGCCUGCAGGCAGCGCUGCUGCGGUGCUGGACUCCACUCGCCUUCAACAUGGCCACGCUGAUCAAAGGUCCUUUCCUGCUCUCCACCACUGCUUUUUCCACGUGAUUUCUGGGCUGAGUGGUCAGGCCUGAGUUUUUGGGACCCCCAGAGCUGUGCCUCUGGCCUAGAACUCCAGGAGCAGAAGGGUCUCCUCAAC
rnacentral:lncRNA from 1 species